rnacentral:rRNA from 1 species
CCUACGGGGGGCUGCAGUGGGGAAUAUUGGACAAUGGGCGAAAGCCUGAUCCAGCCAUGCCGCGUGUGUGAAGAAGGCCUUCGGGUUGUAAAGCACUUUCAGUGGGGAAGAAAGCCUUGGGGCUAAUACCCUCGAGGAAGGACAUCACCCACAGAAGAAGCACCGGCUAACUCCGUGCCAGCAGCCGCGGUAAUACGGAGGGUGCGAGCGUUAAUCGGAAUUACGGGGCGUAAAGCGCGCGUAGGCGGUCUGAUAAGCCGGUUGUGAAAGCCCCGGGCUCAACCUGGGAACGGCAUCCGGAACUGUCAGGCUAGAGUGCAGGAGAGGAAGGUAGAAUUCCCGGUGUAGCGGUGAAAUGCGUAGAGAUCGGGAGGAAUACCAGUGGCGAAGGCGGCCUUCUGGACUGACACUGACGCUGAGGUGCGAAAGCGUGGGUAGCAAACAGGAUUAGAUACCCCAGUAGUC